rnacentral:rRNA from 1 species
UACGUAGGGGGCAAGCGUUGUCCGGAAUCAUUGGGCGUAAAGCGCGUGUAGGCGGCUCGAUAAGUCUGCUGUGAAAGUUCAGGGCUCAACCCUGAAAUGCCGGUGGAAACUGUCGAGCUAGAGUCCGGAAGAGGCGAGUGGAAUUCCUGGUGUAGCGGUGAAAUGCGUAGAUAUCAUUUGGAACGCCAAUGGUGAAAACAGGUUGCUGGGAGUAUGCUGACACUGAGACACGAAAGCCAGGGGAGCGAACGGG